ACAACACUGCUCCCCUCAGGCCUGGACACACCACUGCUCCCCUCAGGCCUGGACACAACACUGCUCCCCUCAGGCCUGGACACAACACUGCUCCCCUCAGGCCGGGACACAACACUGCUCCCCUCAGGUCGGGACACAACACUCCUCCCCUCAGGUCGGGACACAACACUGCUCCUCUCAGGCCGGGACACAACACUGACUGUGAUCAGGGAGGAUGAGCUGCUUCUCUCCUGCACCUCCAAUAGACCCUAUAGGAGGACCCUGGCCUCAAGGGCUCAAAGUUUGCAAGUUCUUGGAAGCGGUGGAUGGCAUGCACACCUCUGGAGUCUAACAGCCCACUCCUUGUUCCUCUUCCACGGGGACGGUGACAUAGAGCAGCCACGGGAUGAAUGGAAUUGCCCCGGGAAGUUCAAACAAAGGAUCCAAUUCAGGGAAUUCUAAUUUCUGGUCGAAAUGCUGGUUUUGCUGACAUCUCCAGUGGUACAGCCUGUCCGUACAUCGUGAGGAGGGGGCUCCUGGGUACUGAUGUUAUGCCCCUCCCUCGGAGAGACCCUGGCCAGAGGGAGGGGGGCAGGAGGACCCUGAUAAACCCCCAACAGAUCCACUGGGAGACCGUCAGAGAGAGUCCAUUUCACUGGACCUACUGCAUACCACCUCCUGACCUGAUGUACUGACCCGUGGUACUGGAACAUAGAGAUCAAACAAAACUCCUUUCAUCUCUGUCUACUGAAACACCUUGACCUGAAGAGGGACACCAACUUUCACCUACUGACGUUUCAGAAGAGGACUUUUAUUGAGUUUAACCACAGCUCAUUGGUUUCUCAGCACCCAUUAAAGUACUGUUCUUAACAAAUCUGUUUAACCACGGGUCAUUGGUUUCUCAGCACCUACCACAGUACUGUUCUUAACAAAUCUACUGAUAAAGAUUUCCUUGAUGUGCUGUUAAUUAGAAAUAGUGCUUGACGCCAAGGUUAUGAUUUAUCUUAUGGGUUAGGCCAUGGUCAGUGGUAAGUUGUAAAAACUAAAAACAUGA